rnacentral:rRNA from 1 species
UGGCGAACGGGUGAGUAACACGUGGGUAACCUGCCCAUCAGAAGGGGAUAACACUUGGAAACAGGUGCUAAUACCGUAUAACACUAUUUUCCGCAUGGAAGAAAGUUGAAAGGCGCUUUUGCGUCACUGAUGGAUGGACCCGCGGUGCAUUAGCUAGUUGGUGAGGUAACGGCUCACCAAGGCAACGAUGCAUAGCCGACCUGAGAGGGUGAUCGGCCACACUGGGACUGAGACACGGCCCAGACUCCUACGGGAGGCAGCAGUAGGGAAUCUUCGGCAAUGGACGAAAGUCUGACCGAGCAACGCCGCGUGAGUGAAGAAGGUUUUCGGAUCGUAAAACUCUGUUGUUAGAGAAGAACAAGGAUGAGAGUAAAACGUUCAUCCCU